rnacentral:lncRNA from 1 species
UUAUCCCUCCACUACUGAAAAGGUGGUUCUUGCAAAGAACAUCAUUACCAUCUUCCCGUCCCUAAAAGUCCAAAUUGAUGGCAGAGGAGAAGGCUCUGUGAGUAUAAAGUUUCUUAGUUAAAAACAAAUCAUUAAAACAUAUUGGAUCGCUUGCUCCUCUCACCAGGUCUACUUCCAGUCAACAAUCUUCUGUAACUGUAAUAAUUAUUUAAAGGAGCAAUAUUUAAUAUGUUUACUGUAUUAAAUCAUAAAAUGACAAUAAUAUGUCAUCAGAUAUUAAGCAUGCUAAGUUGAAAUACUUUCUUUUCUGACAACAAUGCUAAAGCCAGUAUUUUCUCUUUUGAAUUUUCCAUUCCGGUCCGGCACUAUUUGAUGUUCUUUUUUCAUUCUUCUCAGGAGCAUUUCUUUGAUCCAGCAUCACGCUCUGGGUUUUUGGAGAUGAGACUUCGCAAUAUCCGCCGGAAGUUAGAGGAAGGUCAGUGCCGUUACAGUAGACACAAGAGGGGCCGAGAUGUUAAUGAGAUGUCAAGUUCUGUGCAGGAUGAAGGGGACAGCAGUGACGUCAGAGAGUUCAUCAACCUGAUGAAAAGGCUGAGGCCUUCUGCAGAAAACAUUUCCUCAACCAAAUCAGCGAUGCAGAAAACCUUCACCUGGCGCAGAUCGUGGAUAUCGAAACAUUCACCCACUAUGGAGGAAAUCUUGCAAGAGUAUCCACGCUUCUUCGAUAUACCAACUGGUGGGUGUCUUUUUGUACCCCUUGCUAUGUAGAUUCAAGCAAUUAAAAACAAGCCAUUCUUUUUGUGCCAUUAUUGACAAAUUAAUUGAUGAGGUUUAUUUAUAUUAUGUGUCUCUGUCCACUGCAACCACCCAGCUUGAUACAGAGUUUGGUAAAUUGCAUGAAGGAAAGGGGUACCUGUUCCUAAGGCGGUGGGAGGCCAGCAUCAUGCCAAAGCUGAAAGCUGUUGCUGCAAGCGAGAAGGGUGAUGUUGCAUCUCUUGUUGAAGGGAUGGAAGACCAGAGUGAUGAUGAGAAUUGCUACAUGAUGUUGGUCGUCCUUACUCAUCUCCUUCCACCAAUUGAAGCAAGCCGCUGUAGCGUCAAGUCUGCGAUUAAGCGACUUGUUGAUUUUGUACCGGCAGGAAGCACCAUUGCCUCCCUCUACAAUGCAUCCCAGGAUCCAGCACAGAGCACACAGCCACAACUAGUUUGCAUUGGUCAUCUAAGGGAAGGCUCACAGCAGUACGUCAUUCUGGGCAAGUCAGACAAGAUUGCUAUCCCCUUGGAUGAAAGCCUGGCAUGUGCUGUGGACAAGCUCUUCAAGCGCUACUGGGUAUGCAACUUGGCCUACCCAGCCCCGCUCAGCUCUGUGUUCUCGUACUUCGAGUACAUUUACGACUUACCCAUGUCAACAAACAGGAGAGCAAAGGUAAUGGAACUCAUUUCAAAAGUCAGGUCUAUUAAUUAGAUCCCACCAAAAUGUACAUUUGUCCAAGAUGUCAGUCAAGAUUCACACAGAUAAAGAAACUGACGUGGCAUCUUCGUGAAAUACAUGUAUUGUCAGAGGGAUUGAAGUUCACACUUACUUGCGGCUAAGAUGGUUGUCCAAGGACAUACCACAGCAUUAAUUAAUUUGCGAAACACCUUUCUAGAGAGCACCAAAUAACAGGUACCACUGUUGUUGAGCCUUCUCUUCAGACCAUCCCAACAUUUACAGAGUCCACAGGGGCCAUCGACACAACUCUAGAGGAAAACAUAGCUGAGCCUUCUGAGGGUUUUAAACCUCUUUCUUCAAGUGACAGUG